AUUGAACGCUGGCGGCAUGCCUUACACAUGCAAGUCGAACGGUAACGGGUCCUUCGGGAUGCCGACGAGUGGCGAACGGGUGAGUAAUAUAUCGGAACGUGCCCAGUAGUGGGGGAUAACUGCUCGAAAGAGCAGCUAAUACCGCAUACGACCUGAGGGUGAAAGGGGGGGAUCGCAAGACCUCUUGCUAUUGGAGCGGCCGAUAUCAGAUUAGCUAGUUGGUGGGGUAAAGGCCUACCAAGGCAACGAUCUGUAGUUGGUCUGAGAGGACGACCAGCCACACUGGGACUGAGACGCGGCCCAGACUCCUACGGGAGGCAGCAGUGGGGAAUUUUGGACAAUGGGCGCAAGCCUGAUCCAGCAAUGCCGCGUGCAGGAAGAAGGCCUUCGGGUUGUAAACUGCUUUUGUCAGGGAAGAAAUCUUCUGGGCUAAUACCCCGGGAGGAUGACGGUACCUGAAGAAUAAGCACCGGCUAACUACGUGCCAGCAGCCGCCGUAA
rnacentral:rRNA from 1 species